AUUGAACGCUGGCGGCAGGCCUAACACAUGCAAGUCGAGCGGAUGAAGGGAGCUUGCUCCUGGAUUCAGCGGCGGACGGGUGAGUAAUGCCUAGGAAUCUGCCUGGCAGUGGGGGAUAACGUCCGGAAACGGGCGCUAAUACCGCAUACGUCCUGAGGGAGAAAGUGGGGGAUCUUCGGACCUCACGCUAUCAGAUGAGCCUAGGUCGGAUUAGCUAGUUGGUGGGGUAAAGGCCUACCAAGGCGACGAUCCGUAACUGGUCGGAGAGGAUGAUCAGUCACACUGGAACUGAGACACGGUCCAGACUCCUACGGGAGGCAGCAGUGGGGAAUAUUGGACAAUGGGCGAAAGCCUGAUCCAGCCAUGCCGCGUGUGUGAAGAAGGUCUUCGGAUUGUAAAGCACUUUAAGUUGGGAGGAAGGGCAGUAAGUUAAUACCUUGCUGUUUUGACGUUACCAACAGAAUAAGCACCGGCUAACUUCGUG
rnacentral:rRNA from 1 species